CCUACGGGUGGCUGCAGUGAGGAAUAUUGGUCAAUGGGCGCGAGCCUGAACCAGCCAAGUAGCGUGAAGGAUGACUGCCCUACGGGUUGUAAACUUCGUUUAUAAGGGAAUAAAGUGAGGCAAGUGUGCCUUUUUGUAUGUACUUUAUGAAUAAGGAUCGGCUAACUCCGUGCCAUCAGCCGCGGUAAUACGGAGGAUCCGAGCGUUGUCCGGAUUUGUUGGGUUUAAAGGGAGCGUAGAUGGGUUUUUAAGUCAGUUGUGAAAGUUUGCGGCUCAACCGUAAAAUUGCAAUUGAUACUGGCAGUCUUGAGUACAGUAGAGGUAGGCGGAAUUCGAGGUGUAGCGGUGAAAUGCUUAGAUAUCACGAAGAACACCGAUUGCGAAGGCAGCUUACUAAACUGCCACUGACAUUGAUGCUCGAAAGUGUGGGUAGCAAACAGGAUUAGAUACCCCAGUAGUC
rnacentral:rRNA from 1 species